CGCAAACUGCGAUUUGAAGAUAUGUGACUUCGGCCUUGCGAGAACGAGCAACACCAAGGGACAGUUCAUGACCGAAUAUGUAGUGACUCGUUGGUACAGAGCACCUGAGCUUCUCCUCUGCUGUGACAACUACGGAACAUCCAUCGAUGUUUGGUCCGUUGGUUGCAUUUUCGCCGAGCUUCUCGGUAGAAAACCGAUUUUCCAAGGAACUGAAUGCUUAAACCAGCUUAAACUCAUUGUCAACAUUCUUGGUAGCCAAAGAGACGAAGAUCUUGAGUUCAUAGAUAACCCCAAACGUGAAUCUUUUUGUUAACUGGUUUGGGCUUUAAUUUAAGCCCAUAUAAUAAGACAAGAUCAUGUAGGCAUCACCCACUUUCCUCCAAAAGAUAACGUACGAACAAGCAAGUAGAGAGUCAACUGUCCGAACGUUGACCAAAUCUCUCACUUCCUUCCACGGUUCCAUCUUCUCUCCCAGGCCAAUCCUAAGAUCUCACCCUCAUCGGUGAUCGUCGGCGUACACCAACUGUUUCUACCUCAUCCCUACUUUCUCCGGUAAACAUUUUUCACAUUCUGAUCUCACAAGUUCCUUUAAAAAUUCGACUAAGAUUGUCAAGCUUAAUAUUUGAUCUUUUCAUUUUCACUUUUGAUAGACAAUCUUUUUGCGCAAGAAAUUCACUGAAAUACAGCUUAAAUUCUAAAGUUUGUGCUAUUACAAGUAAAUCAAUUCUUUAGUUUUUUUUAAAAAAUCUAUAAUUUUGUGUUCUUGAGGUGUUAGUUGAUGUUCGUGUGAUCAAAGUGUUAUGAAAAAAAUUAUAUAUUUUUUGGAUGAACACGUAUGAAAAAAUUAUGAGUUUUUGGAUGAAUAGUUAUGAAAAAAUUAUAUUUUUUUUCUGUGUAUCAAUUUAAUUUCUUGAUUGGUGAAUUGUGAUGAAGAAGGAGAAGAAACUAAUGGCGACACCAGUUGAUCCUCCUAAUGGUGUUAGGAACCAAGGGAAGCAUUACUUCACCAUGUGGCAAAACCUGUUCGAGAUCGACACUAAGUACAUGCCAAUCAAACCCAUUGGCCGUGGUGCAUACGGUGUAGUCUGCUCUUCUGUUAACACUGACAACAACGAGAAAGUCGCUAUCAAGAAGAUUCACAAUGUCUAUGAGAACAGGAUUGAUGCUUUGAGGACCCUUCGCGAGCUCAAGCUUCUACGCCAUCUUAGACAUGAGAAUGUCAUUGCUUUGAAAGAUGUCAUGAUGCCAAUUCAUAAGAGGAGCUUCAAGGAUGUGUAUCUUGUUUAUGAGCUCAUGGAUACUGAUCUCCACCAAAUUAUCAAGUCUUCUCAAGUGCUUAGUAAUGAUCACUGCCAAUACUUCUUGUUCCAGGUACGUGAUUGGUUUGUAUCCUAUCAAUUACCGGAUGGAUCCUAUCUCUAGAACCGAAAAAUAAAAACCUAGGAAUACCCAAAUUUCUAUAAUAUAGUUUAUAUACUUAUAAAUAUUAACUAUAUUUAAUUUUAAAAUAAUCAAAUAAUAAAAAAAUAUUAUUUAUAAACCGAAAUACAUUAAAAAAACUACCAUAAUACGUUAUCCGAAAUAUUUAAAAUUAUCCAAACUGUCUAAAUUUAUAUCCAGAAAACCUAAUUUUCUGACUUCUUAGCCCAAAUCAACCAAAAAAUUGAAACUAAUUUGGAACCGAAUGGAUCCGAAACUAUUUGGAUAUUAGUUGGUUCUCAACUUUAUUACCCAAGCCGAACAAAAAAAACUGAAACAAACAAACCAAAGUCAAACCAAAAUUUUUAAAUAUCUGGACGGAUCCUAAACCUAUAGAACCAAACCAAGAAGGCUAGGUUCUAGCUUUGUGCAUGUCUUGCUUUCUGCUUAAGUUUUGCUUUGUUCUUUUGUGUAGUUGCUUCGAGGGCUCAAGUAUAUACACUCAGCCAACAUCCUCCACCGAGAUUUGAAACCAGGUAACCUCCUUAUCAACGCAAACUGCGAUUUGAAGAUAUGUGACUUCGGCCUUGCGAGAACGAGCAACACCAAGGGACAGUUCAUGACCGAAUAUGUAGUGACUCGUUGGUACAGAGCACCUGAGCUUCUCCUCUGCUGUGACAACUACGGAACAUCCAUCGAUGUUUGGUCCGUUGGUUGCAUUUUCGCCGAGCUUCUCGGUAGAAAACCGAUUUUCCAAGGAACUGAAUGCUUAAACCAGCUUAAACUCAUUGUCAACAUUCU
rnacentral:lncRNA from 1 species